GACGAACGCCGGCGGCGUGCUUAACACAUGCAAGUCGAGCGGAAAGGCCACUUCGGUGGUACUCGAGCGGCGAACGGGUGAGUAACACGUGAGUAAUCUGCCCCUGGCUUUGGGAUAGCCACCGGAAACGGUGAUUAAUACCGGAUAUGACCACUUCUCGCAUGGGUUGUGGUGGAAAGUUUUUCGGCCAGGGAUGUGCUCGCGGCCUAUCAGCUUGAUGGUGAGGUAAUGGCUCACCAUGGCUUCGACGGGUAGCCGGCCUGAGAGGGUGACCGGUCACACUGGGACUGAGACACGGCCCAGACUCCUACGGGAGGCAGCAGUGGGGAAUAUUGGACAAUGGGCGGAAGCCUGAUCCAGCAACGCCGCGUGAGGGAUGACGGCCUUCGGGUUGUAAACCUCUUUCAGUACCGACGAAGCGCAAGUGACGGUAGGUACAGAAGAAGCACCGGCCAACUACGUGCAGCCGCCGCCGUAAUAC
rnacentral:rRNA from 1 species